CGGGGCUGCUCUGUCUAUGGAGUAGCCAUUCUUUUAUUCGAAUACUUUACUCUCCUAACAAACUUGCUUUCAUUUUACUCUACAGACUCACCCUGAAUUCUUUCUUGCACUUGCUCUAAGAACCCUCUCUUGGGGUCUGGAUCCGGACCGCUUUCUGCUAACACUUCUACAUACCACGUUUAUUUGAGACAGAAAAAUACAGCAAGGACAUCCAUCUAAACUUUGUCUGGAGUCUGGGCCCAGGGGAGCUGCAGUACAUGGAGGGUCUCUGGAAGUGGCAUUUCCCAGGGGAGUAAAAGGAAGGAUCAAAGCUACAAUGGGCUUGGCUGCCCUUCUCCAGGAAUGGCCAGAGGACAACUUCUGCUUGGAAAGUUCCUGGAUACUUCUGGAACAGAAUUCUCCUGGGGUGAGUGGUUCACACAACUGACCCACUUCAUCCCCACUCAGCAAAAUGAGAGCGCCGUUGACUGACAACAAAAUGCUGAACUGGAAACCUCCGCAGUAAAACGUGAUGCAGAACAGAGAAAGAACUAAGAUGUUCUGCACAGACGGUAUCAUGCCCUCUAUGAGGAAACUACUCGAGCAUAUCUGUGUUUCAAAUGAUGUCUUUGAACUAUUUAUGUUAAAUGCCCCCCCAAAAAAAUGGAAAGGCUUCUUCGUAGAGGAAAGAGCUUGAAGUUGCUAGGCUGUUCUGCCUUCAACAGGCAUUUAUUGUGCAGCUACAAAAUGCUGCACCAAGCACUGGGCAGUGGAAAGGUGAUUCAGACACAGUUCCUUUGACAAAACCUCAAAAUCCCAUGUGAAGUUCUCUUUUAUAAAGUAAAUCAGAAAAGAUUCAAAAGUUGAGGUACCAAAAAAAAAUAAUAUAAAUGCAAGUAGUAAAGCGCUAUUGACUGUAAAUAGAAGCACUUAAUAAGUGGUUGUUGUUUCUGUUCUUCUCUCUAAUAAGUGUAUACAGGUGGCUAAAUGCUUUUGUUGAGCUAUGAGUACCUCAUUCUGUGGAGUGACUCAGAAAGUCUCUAGGUGUUAGACUGGAAACAGGUGAUGUUCAGUGCACGCAAUGCUUGAAGUGUUCCCAGGUAUUUAGUUUCAGGUAAAUUUUACUGUUUAAAAAAAUUGUUUUUACUUGCUAUUAAGUGUGUUGACCUUGGAUAAUUUACUUAACCUCUCUAUGCCUUGCUUCCUUUUCUGCAAAAUGAGAGUAAGAAAAGUGCUUACCUCAUUGGCUUUUUGUGAAAUUCAAUGAGUUAACACGUGGGAGAAAAGAUGUUUUUAAAUAAUCAAUUCUUAGCAGUUGGUCAUUGUUAUGAGUUACAUCAUGCGUAGUUAAAUAUUUUUUAAAAAAUUAAAAUUUAUUUUCCUAUAGGAAAAAGGAGGGACUGAAUUGUGAAUCCAUUUUCUCUGCUUUCAGUUAUUUCUACUCCUGAGAAAAACCCUAAGCACUUAGGGUCUAGAACCACAUCCCGAGACGGUGAGCUCUUCCCACAUUUUCACAUGUGCCUGAAUCAUUUGUAGGUCUCGUUCAAGCAGAGAAUCUCCGGGAUUCUCACUCGGGAGGUCUGGGGUCGGGCCUGAGUCCUUGCAUUUCUAACAAACUCCCAGUUGAUGCUGGUGCCACUGGUUCUGAAUUAAGAUGCUUGUUUACCUAGUGACAGCAACAAAAAUUGUAGCAAUGGUAUCCAGAAAUAAACAGCAUACUUUUAUAGGGCUAGUCAAAUGAACCCAAACAUACAAAAUAAAGGCAAACCUCACAAUCUUCUUGCAAUGAUUUAUUACUCUGAGAGCUCAUUUUAGGUGAGAUUGUCUCCCUCCGGAGCCUGAUUCCUAAAAGCUUUCUAUGACUUUGAAAUUAUCGUUUUCCUUUUGGAGGUAGCACAAUAUAAGAGCUAAGAAGAGAAUGAGAACUGGAGUCCCUCCCAGGUUUGCCCCUCUAGGUAUGUAAGCUAAGGUAAACUACUUAGCCUUUCUUAAGCCUCAGUUUUCUCAUUACAAAUGGGCAUAUACGGAACAUUGGCUUGCCUCCUACAGUUGUUUGAGGACUCAAUGAAAAUGUACGUGAAGCUGGUUGCGGUGAGCUGAGAUUGUGCCACUGCACUCCAGCCUUGUGACACAGCGAGACUCCGUCUCAAAAAAAUAAAUAAAUAAAUAAAUAAAAAUAAAAGACUGGUUGCGGUUGCUCAUGCCUGUAAUUCCAGCACUUUGGGAGGCUGAGGUGGGCGGAUCACAAGGUCAAGAAAUCAAGACCAUCUUGGCUAACAUGGUGAAACCACAUCUCUACUAAAACUACAAAAAUUAGCUGGGCAUGGUAGCACAUGCCUGUAGUCCCAGCUACUCGGGAGGGCUGAGGCAGGAGAAUCGCUUGAACCAGGGAGGCAGAGGGUGCAGUGAGCCGAAAUCAUGCCACUGCACUCCAGCCUUGUGACAGAGUGAGACUCCAUCUCAAAAAAAAAAAAAAAAAAAAGAAAAAGAAAAAAGAAAAUGUACGUGAAGCAGUUAUCCUGGUGCCGGUGCCUGGUACGUAUCAAGGGCACCAGAACAUUAGCUAUUUAACCUUAAGGUUUCAAAUCCACCCUUCUCUGGAGACUUCUUGUUCCCUACUCUCAUGCAUCUCUGCAUCAUGGUCAUAACCCAUAGCAACGAAAAGCCAAGGUUUCACUCUUUGAAAUCUGGAUAAUGGUAUUUGUCUGCAAUAAUAUCCUAGGAGUAGAGCUAGAGAAUUUGUUUUGGGUUUUGUUUGUUUUUGUUCAUUUUUCAGACACGGUGAGUCAGAAACGUAAGGCUCAGAGAUAUUUUUAGUUUUUCCAGCCACUAAGAAUUCUUGUUGCCUGCAGGGAAAUAAAGAAAUGCAGAGAAGGGGGAGUGCUAGACUUGCCUGCUUGCUAUCCAAAACCACUUCUUUCCUUUGAAAAAGGGUCUGUGCAGCCAAAACAAGCAGCGCUAACGCUGGGCUGAGAGUAGGCACCAGCCAUCCAGGAAAGAGACAAGGCAACCAUCAGCUACAAAAGCUGCUUCAACAGCAGACAGCUCAAAGAAUCAAAAAAUGCAUCCCAGGAGGGCUGGGUGAGGAAAGACAGUGAUCUUGCCUUGGUAUUUGCAGCAAAGUCACAGACCAGGAAGGUCAAAUCCUCGCUGAGAACCAUGUGGACAAAUGUCCAGGACAUGGUCGCUGGCCUCAGGGAGCCCACAAUUUUAUUGAAGAAGCAAGAUUGUCAGAAGUAAGGACCAAAACUCGUGUAUACAGAGAAAGGAGAAAGAUUGAGAGGAAAGAAGAGGAGAAUCAAGGAGGCAGAGAUUAAAAGAAGGAAGGGAUAGAAAAGAAAAGAAAAAGAAAGAGGGAAGGAGAGAAGGGGAAAAGUACGGACUCCGUUUCGUGACUACAUCACAAGCAUUGAUGAAAAGAAGAGAAAUCUGUGAAAACGAGAAAGCAGGCACUGUAUGUUGCAUCCUGACACACAGUGAGUUGUUACACUUUAAAAGCCACAAAGAAGAGACGCUCACCCAGAGACAGACUUGAUGGAUUUGGCAGCUUAUCAUACUGGGAAGGGCAGAAUUGGGUUAUGCUAUGUUUUCAAUGGGUCCCCUCCAAAAGUCAGCCAAUGUGAUAGUAUUAAGAGAUGAGGCCUUUAAGAGGUGAUUAGGCCAUGAGAGCUCCUUCCUCGGGCUUGGAAUUAAGUGUCCUUAUACAGAGGUUUGGCACAAGGAGUUGGCCCCCACUUGCCCUUCCGUGUUCAGCCAUGAGGACACAGUGUUCCUUCUCUCUGGAGGAUGCAGCGUGAGGGCGCCAUCUUGGAAGCACAGAGCAGCCAUCACCAGACACCAAACCUGCUGGUGCCUUGAUCUUCCCAGCCUCCAGAACUGUGAGAAAUUUCUGUUCUUUACAAAUUGCCUAGUCUCGGGAAUUCUGUUAUAGCAGAACAAAAGGACUAAGAUAAGUUACCUUUUCUUAAAGGAAAACUUUGAUAAAUAUUCUUUGUCCUCUAUUCCUUUCACCUAUACCCCAUGAAGCUGGGAGGAUAAGGGGAGUAAGAGGAGGAGCUGAAACUAAGAGGUCAGCAGACCCUAAGCCCUAGUCGGAAGCCUCCAAAACUGUCAAUCAAACCACUGUGUCUCCAGCCCUGGGCCUGACUCAGGAAACCAUCACCUGCCUCUUCUCCAGCCUCUUCUCUCCAUCCUUGCUUGUGAAGUAGUCAUGGAAUACUCUCCAUACUCUUUUUCCCCCCUUUCCUUCCCUCUUUUUCUUUUGUUUUUUCUCCCUUCCUUCCUUUAUCCUCCUCUGCCUCCUUGAUUUUCCUCUUCAUCUUUCUUCUCAACCUUUCUCCUUUCUUUUUAUACCCUAGUUUUAUUCCUUACCUCUGACAAUCUUGCUUCUUUGACAAAACAUUAAACUGAGAUCUCAGACUGGCAUGCAACCUGAUUAGUAGAAACUUGCUCUUCCUGGCCUAGUGCAGUUCAUCAUGCAGCCUCUCUUCCUCUUCCCCUGGCACCUCACAGCAGUCAGCAUCCACGUGCUCCUGCUAACAAGUGCAAGGCCAAAUGAAGAAAACACUAAGAAUGCAUUCACAAAAGUGACAGCAUCUCCUCUAGCCACUUUGAAUUUUCCCCUCAUUUACUGAGGAAAAUAAAAUUCCUAUUUGAUCUACAGGUCUGCCACCUCUAAGGAGUCGUUCCAUUUUCUGAAACCCAGAAUUAACCAGAACUACAAUCCCCACUGUCACCCAAUUUUGUGUUGUGUUCAGAGAUGUUGGCUGGUCAGCCAGGUUUUUGAGAAUAAAGCUGACUUCAGGUUGAAAUAGUCAAAAUCAAAACCUUGGGCCCUUUGGACAAUUCCCUAGGGACUCUUCAUAAAGCCCAAUAAAGGUCUCCAUAGAAACACCUUGCAGCCCAUUUAUGAGCUUUUUUAGCAAUAGCUGUCCAGAAAACUUUUACACCCCCCUGAAAUAGUCAAUCUACCCCAUCUGCUCCAUGACAACAGAAAAAUGGUGCCUCAUAUCACUAGCCAGCAUCUCGUAACACAUCAGGGUUUUGGCCUGAGAUUGUUCUCUGAGAUACACUAUGCAAAUAUCCAGCUGGUAUCACCAGACAACAGGAAUUUAGUUGGGAAAGGCACAAGGAUUGGGAAGUCUGAGGACGGGCUCAAGGUCUCCAACUGGACAGCCAGCUCAGGACUCCUUUGUCAGGGUCCCUGGGGACCUGGCUGAGGUUUUCAACAGGUAGGGCUUGAUCCUAGUGCAACACCUUGUUCUUACCCUGGGUCUCUUAGAUGAGUGAUCUUGGCCAAAUCACUUAAGUGAUCUCAGAUUGUUUGCUCAUCAUGAUAAUAAUCGUAAUAUUGCCAACCUCACACGGCUGUUGCGAGUGCCCAGAGAAAGAAAAGGUAAAGGAAUGUGGCCCUCCUCACAUGAGAAAGGAGACUAACAGAAAUUAAGGAGCUUGCCCAAGUUCACACAGGAGGCAAGCUGUGGUUUAAAUCUAAGUGUAUCUGACACAUAUUGUGUUCUGUUUCUACUAAGCUCUAGAUAUAAGAUAAAAAAUAUUAUGCUUAUUUGCAUAUUGUUAUGCAUAAUGUCCAAAUGUAUGCUUCAUUUGCACAUAUGAUUGCUACUGUCUCUCAUCUGGGAUGUAGUUCCCAGCUGGGUAAUACAUUUGAGCUAAACUCUCCUCAAGCCCAGCUUCAGCCCAGCAGAGAAUUUUUAGGGGCGAAGUCUCAUCACAACACAUAGCCCUUCUGAGCAAUCAGGUGAAGCAUAGAGUUCCAAAAAGCCCAAACUUCACUCAAAUUUCCUCUCGUAGCUCAGGAUGGGAAGCUGGGGCUCUUCCAAGGGUAAGCAAGCCAGGUAUCAUGGCAGCUUCACACCACAUUUUUGUAUUCAUUCUUGACCACUCCCCACCAUCCCCAACCCUGCUGCCUGUGCCCUUUUCUAAAGCUCAAGACUCUCAAUAUUCCAGAAACAGCUAAUACCAUUAAAAAUAGUAAUUAAUUUUGUGGAACACCUACCAAGGUAAGUCAGCCUCUUUAUGAUAUUUAAUAUUCAACAUGAAACUAAAAGUAGGGGUUUUUUAACCAUUCCCAUUUUAUGGUCAAGGAAAUGGAGGCCUGGAGAGAUGAGGUGGCCCACCCAGGGUCAUACAACUAAGAAAGGUAGAACAGGAUUCAAAUCUAGGUCCUCUUACACCAGACCCAGUGCCUGUCCCAGGGUGCCGUCAGUCCCAUUGCUGCUGGAGGGCAGCAUGAGUAGCACACCAUCCUGCCAGCCGCCCUCUAGCCAGGGCAGACUCUCAAAAUGCAAAACUUGCCAGACAGGCAGGAAUGCAAAUGCACACACAGCCUGAAGUAGAUCUGCCCUGACAGAAGUCACCCAGGUGGCCACUUGGCCAUGGAAUGUGCCCAGCUUGAUAAGAAGGCAAAUGCCUGGCGUCUUGCAGGGCCAGGGUGCAUAUCAGGUUUCAUUUCUGGGCUGUGGCAAGACAGAAGCCGUAUGUGGUCUUUGCCUGCCAGGACUGGCUGGCCCUGAUGCCCACGGCCUGCCAGGCAUGACAAGCCCAGCAGUCUUCCCUAACGGGGCCUUCUCUUGCCCCAAGCAACAGUCCUAAUGUCUUCCAAGUUGGGCACAGUUCCACAGCCCCAUAAAGCUGCAAGCCAAGGAAUGCAGCUCCCUUUUACUUCUGCCUUUCUGAACUCUACCCUUCUUUCAAGGUCAGCUCAAGCCUGCCCCCCACAUUACAGGUUAGGUUCAAAUGCCAAUUCUAGCUGUAUGGCCUUGGAUGACUCAUUUAACAUCUCUUAGCGCCCUUUUGUGAAUAAAAUGGGCGUAAAAAUGUCCACUCCCCAGGGCUAUGGUAAGGAUUGAGAGGCCCAGUGAAACUUCGCACAUAGUAUAUGCACAGUAAAUGGUAGGCAGCCCCCACUUCUCAUAGUGACCUCUCUUCCCUGCAUUUCAGUUUCUCUUAUCACCCGCCUAAUUCAACUUAGCAUUUUAUUAAACACUGACUCACAUCUGUUUAGCUCAUCAUUUUCCAUUCAUGUGUAAGUCUCGUCUUUCUCUGAUCUUCUUAGAACCAAGAACCAGGCUGUUCUUUCUCUCAUUUCGCCAUGGACCACUAAGCACAGUUUGGAAUCGUCACAUGACUUAUCAGUUGCUGCUGGUGUAAACACUGAGGCCCAUAGAGGUCAUCACCUGCCCAACUGGACAGCUGUGAAGCCACAGCUCACACCACUUGCUGCAUCCUCCUGCAAUUUCAGCACACUUUCUCUUGUGCUGCUCUCCCUGGAAAGACAGUGCUUUUCCCCAACACCAAUUCCACCGGCAUCGCCCUAGAAAAAUACUCACAAAGAACACGGGGAGCUAUGUCUAAGGAUCUUCAAUGAAGUAUUGUUAUAAUGGACAUUUAGUUACAACUUAAAUGUUCACCAACUGGGUGAACAUUUCCACUGACUGGGGAAUGACCAGAAACAGAAAACAGAGAACUAUGCUGUAUAACCAUCACAUGAAAUUCUGGGCAGCGGUAGAAAGGAAUGAAUGAAUCUGCUCAUGCUUACAUGAAAAGAGACAUAUUGUGAAGUGAAGGAAGUUUCAGAAUGAAGUUUACAAGUAUGAUUCCACAUGUUACAGAACAACAAGAGAUGUGGGUGUUUUGUAUGCAGACAUAUACAUGUAUGUAAACGUAUAGGAAAAGGUCUGAAAUUACGCAAGCCAAACUGAUAACAAAAUUACCCAUUGAGAAGGGGAAAGUGGUAGAAAAGAGAGAAUGCUGAUCAAGGGGAUUCUAGCCUUAUCUGAGCUGUUUGAAUUGUUUCACAAGAAUAAUGUAUUCAUGUGUUACUUGUGUGCUUAUAAUAAAUCUAAAAUAAGUUUGUCCUAAUUCUUUACAGUAGAGAAAUGGUGGCAUUUGGUGAUCAAGGAUGCAGUGUGGACUCAGACAGGCCUUAGCUUCCAUCCCAGCUUGGCUACUCGAGAGCUGUGUGACUGUACAUAAGCUACUUAAACUUUCUGUAUCUCUUUAGCCUCUUCUAUAGAAUGAAGUUGAUGACAAUACCUCAGAAGAUGUAGUGAGGAAUUAAAUGAGGCAUAAGCCAAGGUUUCUGCUGCACCUGGCAAAGAAGUGAAUCAGAUCAGAAGCACAAAUGCACGGAACUGAGUUUUCUGCCUGGACAGUGUCCUAAGACUCUCUGGCAAGAUCUCUGGUUUAACGACUUCCUGUACUUUCUUCAUCAUUUCGCCAGACAGCAGAUCUCCUGAGGGCAUGGGGAUCCCUAU
rnacentral:lncRNA from 10 species